rnacentral:rRNA from 1 species
UACGUAGGGUGCAAGCGUUAAUCGGAAUUACUGGGCGUAAAGCGUGCGCAGGCGGUUGUGUAAGUCUGUCGUGAAAUCCCCGGGCUCAACCUGGGAAUUGCGAUGGAGACUGCACGGCUAGAGUGUGUCAGAGGGGGGUAGAAUUCCACGUGUAGCAGUGAAAUGCGUAGAUAUGUGGAGGAACACCGAUGGCGAAGGCGAGUCCCUGGACAACACCUGACACUGAGGCACGAAAGCUAGGGGAGCAAACAGG